AAUCAUUCAUCUACAUUUUAACACCAUGAAACUACUUUAUUGCACUACCCCCAAGGCAAUCUCUCCCCAAUAAUCUGGUAACUUACAACAACUGAUAUUUCUGGAACCCGACUAGAUGUCCGGAUGUAACUCACAUUCUCUGGCACAAAUAUAAACUCCAUGCAGGCAAACUCUUCUGUCUCCUUCACCACUCUGUGCCCAGGGCUUAGAAGAGGCUGGCAUACAAGUGAAGAAAUGCAACCACAAAAAAAAUACCCUGCCUUAUGUCACAAAGUAAGGAGCUGGUGUGCUAAAGAAAUUGUUGUAUGACUUUGGACGUGUCAUUUAAAGUUCCUGCUCUCGUGUAAAAUAAAGAGGAUGAGUCAUGAUGA